rnacentral:rRNA from 1 species
GACGAACGCUGGCGGCGUGCUUAACACAUGCAAGUCGAACGGAAAGGCCCUGCUUUUGUGGGGUGCUCGAGUGGCGAACGGGUGAGUAACACGUGAGUAACCUGCCCUUGACUUUGGGAUAACUUCAGGAAACUGGGGCUAAUACCGGAUAGGAGCUCCUGCUGCAUGGUGGGGGUUGGAAAGUUUCGGCGGUUGGGGAUGGACUCGCGGCUUAUCAGCUUGUUGGUGGGGUAGUGGCUUACCAAGGCUUUGACGGGUAGCCGGCCUGAGAGGGUGACCGGCCACAUUGGGACUGAGAUACGGCCCAGACUCCUACGGGAGGCAGCAGUGGGGAAUAUUGCACAAUGGGCGGAAGCCUGAGGCAGCAACGCCGCAUGCGGGAUGACGGCCUUCGGGUUGUAAACCGCUUUCGCCUGUGACGAAGCGUGAGUGACGGUAAUGGGUAAAGAAGCACCGGCUAACUACGUG